GCCCAGUCGGGGCCACUGAGAUGGGACA
rnacentral:sRNA from 1 species